rnacentral:rRNA from 1 species
AUUGAACGCUGGCGGCAUGCUUUACACAUGCAAGUCGAACGGUAACAGGUUAAGCUGACGAGUGGCGAACGGGAGAGUAAUGCAUCGGAACGUGCCCGGUCGUGGGGGAUAACGCAGCGAAAGCUGCGCUAAUACCGCAUACGAUCUGAGGAUGAAGGCGGGGGACCGUAAGGCCUCGCGCGAUCGGAGCGGCCGAUGUCAGAUGAGGUUGGUGGUGGGGUAAAGGCACAACAAGCCAACGACCUGUAGCUGGUCUGAGAGGACGGACAGCCACACUGGGACUGAGACACGGCCCAGACUCCUACGGGAGGCAGCAGUGGGGAAUUUUGGACAAUGGGCGAAAGCCUGAUCCAGCAAUGCCGCGUGCAGGAAGAAGGCCUUCGGGUUGUAAACUGCUUUUGUACGGAGCGAAAAGGCUCUCUCUAAUACAGGGGGCUCAUGACGGUACCGUAAGAAUAAGCACCGGCUAACUACGUGCCAGCCGCCGCCGUAA